rnacentral:rRNA from 1 species
GUUAUAUGGUCAAGUGAAGAAGCGCAUACGGUGGAUGCCUUGGCAGUCAGAGGCGAUGAAAGACGUGGUAGCCUGCGAAAAGCUUCGGGGAGUCGGCAAACAGACUGUGAUCCGGAGAUGUCUGAAUGGGGGAACCCAGCCAUCACAAGAUGGUUAUCUUACACUGAAUACAUAGGUGUAAGAGGCGAACCAGGGGAACUGAAACAUCUAAGUACCCUGAGGAAAAGAAAUCAACCGAGAUUCCCUUAGUAGUGGCGAGCGAACGGGGACCAGCCCUUAAGUUGUAUUGAGAUUAGCGGAACGCUCUGGAAAGUGCGGCCAUAGUGGGUGAUAGCCCUGUACGCGAAAAUCCCUUUGCAAUGAAAUCGAGUAGGACGGGGCACGAGAAACUUUGUCUGAAUAUGGGGGGACCAUCCUCCAAGGCUAAAUACUACUGACUGACCGAUAGUGAACCAGUACCGUGAGGGAAAGGCGAAAAGAACCGCGGAGAGCGGAGUGAAAUAGAUCCUGAAACCGUAUGCGUACAAGCAGUGGGAGCCCACUUUGUUGGGUGACUGCGUACCUUUUGUAUAAUGGGUCAGCGACUUAUUUUCAGUGGCGAGCUUAACCGAAUAGGGGAGGCGUAGCGAAAGCGAGUCUUAAUAGGGCGUCUAGUCGCUGGGAAUAGACCCGAAACCGGGCGAUCUAUCCAUGGGCAGGUUGAAGGUUGGGUAACACUAACUGGAGGACCGAACCGACUACCGUUGAAAAGUUAGCGGAUGACCUGUGGAUCGGAGUGAAAGGCUAAUCAAGCUCGGAGAUAGCUGGUUCUCCUCGAAAGCUAUUUAGGUAGCGCCUCAUGUAUCACUGUAGGGGGUAGAGCACUGUUUCGGCUAGGGGGUCAUCCCGACUUACCAAACCGAUGCAAACUCCGAAUACCUACAAGUGCCGAGCAUGGGAGACACACGGCGGGUGCUAACGUCCGUCGUGAAAAGGGAAACAACCCAGACCGUCAGCUAAGGUCCCAAAGUCAUGGUUAAGUGGGAAACGAUGUGGGAAGGCUUAGACAGCUAGGAGGUUGGCUUAGAAGCAGCCACCCUUUAAAGAAAGCGUAAUAGCUCACUAGUCGAGUCGGCCUGCGCGGAAGAUGUAACGGGGCUCAAACCAUGCACCGAAGCUACGGGUAUCACCUUUGGUGAUGCGGUAGAGGAGCGUUCUGUAAGCCUGUGAAGGUGAGUUGAGAAGCUUGCUGGAGGUAUCAGAAGUGCGAAUGCUGACAUGAGUAACGACAAUGGGUGUGAAAAACACCCACGCCGAAAGACCAAGGUUUCCUGCGCAACGUUAAUCGACGCAGGGUUAGUCGGUCCCUAAGGCGAGGCUGAAAAGCGUAGUCGAUGGAAAACAGGUUAAUAUUCCUGUACUUCUGGUUAUUGCGAUGGAGGGACGGAGAAGGCUAGGCCAGCCUGGCGUUGGUAGUCCAGGUUUAAGGUGGUAGGCUGAGAUCUUAGGUAAAUCCGGGAUCUUAAGGCCGAGAGCUGAUGACGAGUGUUCUUUUAGAACAUGAAGUGGUUGAUGCCAUGCUUCCAAGAAAAGCUUCUAAGCUUCAGGUAACCAGGAACCGUACCCCAAACCGACACAGGUGGUUGGGUAGAGAAUACCAAGGCGCUUGAGAGAACUCGGGUGAAGGAACUAGGCAAAAUGGCACCGUAACUUCGGGAGAAGGUGCGCCGGUGAGGGUGAAGCAUUUACUGCGUAAGCCCACGCCGGUCGAAGAUACCAGGCCGCUGCGACUGUUUAUUAAAAACACAGCACUCUGCAAACACGAAAGUGGACGUAUAGGGUGUGACGCCUGCCCGGUGCCGGAAGGUUAAUUGAUGGGGUUAGCGCAAGCGAAGCUCUUGAUCGAAGCCCCGGUAAACGGCGGCCGUAACUAUAACGGUCCUAAGGUAGCGAAAUUCCUUGUCGGGUAAGUUCCGACCUGCACGAAUGGCGUAACGAUGGCGGCGCUGUCUCCACCCGAGACUCAGUGAAAUUGAAAUCGCUGUGAAGAUGCAGUGUAUCCGCGGCUAGACGGAAAGACCCCGUGAACCUUUACUAUAGCUUUGCACUGGACUUUGAAUUUGCUUGUGUAGGAUAGGUGGGAGGCUUUGAAGCGUGGACGCCAGUCUGCGUGGAGCCAACCUUGAAAUACCACCCUGGCAACUUUGAGGUUCUAACUCAGGUCCGUUAUCCGGAUCGAGGACAGUGUAUGGUGGGUAGUUUGACUGGGGCGGUCUCCUCCUAAAGAGUAACGGAGGAGUACGAAGGUGCGCUCAGACCGGUCGGAAAUCGGUCGUAGAGUAUAAAGGCAAAAGCGCGCUUGACUGCGAGACAGACACGUCGAGCAGGUACGAAAGUAGGUCUUAGUGAUCCGGUGGUUCUGUAUGGAAGGGCCAUCGCUCAACGGAUAAAAGGUACUCCGGGGAUAACAGGCUGAUACCGCCCAAGAGUUCAUAUCGACGGCGGUGUUUGGCACCUCGAUGUCGGCUCAUCACAUCCUGGGGCUGAAGCCGGUCCCAAGGGUAUGGCUGUUCGCCAUUUAAAGUGGUACGCGAGCUGGGUUUAGAACGUCGUGAGACAGUUCGGUCCCUAUCUGCCGUGGACGUUUGAGAUUUGAGAGGGGCUGCUCCUAGUACGAGAGGACCGGAGUGGACGAACCUCUGGUGUUCCGGUUGUCACGCCAGUGGCAUUGCCGGGUAGCUAUGUUCGGAAAAGAUAACCGCUGAAAGCAUCUAAGCGGGAAACUUGCCUCAAGAUGAGAUCUCACUGGAACCUUGAGUUCCCUGAAGGGCCGUCGAAGACUACGACGUUGAUAGGUUGGGUGUGUAAGCGCUGUGAGGCGUUGAGCUAACCAAUACUAAUUGCCCGUGAGGCUUGACCAUAUAACACCCAAGCAAUU